GAGGAAUACAUCGGAAUCUACUUUUUCGUGGGGGAUAACGUAGGGAAACUUACGCUAAUACCGCAUACGACCUACGGGUGAAAGCAGGGGAUCUUCGGACCUUGCGCGAUUGAAUGAGCCGAUGUCGGAUUAGCUAGUUGGCGGGGUAAAGGCCCACCAAGGCGACGAUCCGUAGCUGGUCUGAGAGGAUGAUCAGCCACACUGGAACUGAGACACGGUCCAGACUCCUACGGGAGGCAGCAGUGGGGAAUAUUGGACAAUGGGCGCAAGCCUGAUCCAGCCAUACCGCGUGGGUGAAGAAGGCCUUCGGGUUGUAAAGCCCUUUUGUUGGGAAAGAAAUCCAGCUGGCUAAUACCCGGUUGGGAUGACGGUACCCAAAGAAUAAGCACCGGCUAACUUCGUGCCAGCAGCCGCGGUAAUACGAAGGGUGCAAGCGUUACUCGGAAUUAC
rnacentral:rRNA from 1 species